rnacentral:rRNA from 1 species
GAUGAACGCUGGCGGCGUGCCUAAUACAUGCAAGUCGAGCGAACAGACGAGGAGCUUGCUCCUCUGACGUUAGCGGCGGACGGGUGAGUAACACGUGGAUAACCUACCUAUAAGACUGGGAUAACUUCGGGAAACCGGAGCUAAUACCGGAUAAUAUAUUGAACCGCAUGGUUCAAUAGUGAAAGACGGUUUUGCUGUCACUUAUAGAUGGAUCCGCGCCGCAUUAGCUAGUUGGUAAGGUAACGGCUUACCAAGGCAACGAUGCGUAGCCGACCUGAGAGGGUGAUCGGCCACACUGGAACUGAGACACGGUCCAGACUCCUACGGGAGGCAGCAGUAGGGAAUCUUCCGCAAUGGGCGAAAGCCUGACGGAGCAACGCCGCGUGAGGGAUGAAGGUCUUCGGAUCGUAAAACUCUGUUAUUAGGGAAGAACAAAUGUGUAAGUAACUAUGCACGUCGUGACGGUACCUAAUCAGAAAGCCACGGCUAACUACG